AUCCUCCAAGGCUAAAUACUCCUGACUGACCGAUAGUGAACCAGUACCGUGAGGGAAAGGCGAAAAGAACCCCGGCGAGGGGAGUGAAAAAGAACCUGAAACCGUGUACGUACAAGCAGUGGGAGCACCUUCGGGUGUGACUGCGUACCUUUUGUAUAAUGGGUCAGCGACUUAUAUUCUGUAGCAAGGUUAACCGUAUAGGGGAGCCGCAGGGAAACCGAGUCUUAACUGGGCGUUAAGUUGCAGGGUAUAGACCCGAAACCCGGUGAUCUAGCCAUGGGCAGGUUGAAGGUUGGGUAACACUAACUGGAGGACCGAACCGACUAAUGUUGAAAAAUUAGCGGAUGACUUGUGGCUGGGGGUGAAAGGCCAAUCAAACCGGGAGAUAGCUGGUUCUCCCCGAAAGCUAUUUAGGUAGCGCCUCGUGAACUCAUCUUCGGGGGUAGAGCACUGUUUCGGCUAGGGGGUCAUCCCGACUUACCAACCCGAUGCAAACUACGAAUACCGAAGAAUGUUAUCACGGGAGACACACGGCGGGUGCUAACGUCCGUCGUGAAGAGGGAAACAACCCAGACCGCCAGCUAAGGUCCCAAAGUCAUGGUUAAGUGGGAAACGAUGUGGGAAGGCACAGACAGCCAGGAUGUUGGCUUAGAAGCAGCCAUCAUUUAAAGAAAGCGUAAUAGCUCACUGGUCGAGUCGGCCUGCGCGGAAGAUGUAACGGGGCUAAACCAUGCACCGAAGCUGCGGCAGCGACACUAUGUGUUGUUGGGUAGGGGAGCGUUCUGUAAGCCUGCGAAGGUG
rnacentral:rRNA from 1 species